UACAGAGGUCUCAAGCGUUGUUCGGAUUCAUUGGGCGUAAAGGGUGCGUAGGUGGCGCUGUAAGUCGGGUGUGAAAUUUCGGAGCUUAACUCCGAAACUGCAUUCGAUACUGCGGUGCUUGAGGACUGGAGAGGAGAACGGAAUUCCUGGUGUAGCGGUGAAAUGCGCAGAUAUCAGGAGGAACACCGGUGGCGAAGGCGGUUCUCUGGGCAUGUCCUGACGCUGAGGAGCGAAAGUGUGGGGAGCGAACAGG
rnacentral:rRNA from 1 species